rnacentral:rRNA from 1 species
GAUGAACGCUGGCGGCGUGCCUAAUACAUGCAAGUCGAGCGAACAGACGAGGAGCUUGCUCCUCUGACGUUAGCGGCGGACGGGUGAGUAACACGUGGAUAACCUACCUAUAAGACUGGGAUAACUUCGGGAAACCGGAGCUAAUACCGGAUAAUAUAUUGAACCGCAUGGUUCAAUAGUGAAAGACGGUUUUGCUGUCACUUAUAGAUGGAUCCGCGCCGCAUUAGCUAGUUGGUAAGGUAACGGCUUACCAAGGCAACGAUGCGUAGCCGACCUAGAGGGUGAUCGGCCACACUGGAACUGAGACACCGUCCAGACUCCUACGGGAGGCAGCAGUACGGAAUCUUCCGCAAUGGGCGAAAGCUUGACGGAGCAACGCCGCGUGAGUGAUGAAGGUCUUCGGAUCGUAAAACUCUGUUAUUAGGGAAGAACAAAUGUGUAAGUAACUAUGCACGUCUUGACGGUACCUAAUCAGAAAGCCACGGCUAACUACGUG